GACGAACGCUGGCGGCGUGCUUAACACAUGCAAGUCGAACGGUGAUGCUCCAGCUUGCUGGCGUGGAUCAGUGGCGAACGGGUGAGUAACACGUGAGCAACCUGCCCCAGACUCUGGAAUAAGCGCUGGAAACGGCGUCUAAUACUGGAUACGAAACUGGCCCGCAUGGGCAUGGUUUGGAAAGUUUUUCGGUGUGGGAUGGGCUCGCGGCCUAUCAGCUUGUUGGUGAGGUAAUGGCUCACCAAGGCGACGACGGGUAGCCGGCCUGAGAGGGCGACCGGCCACACUGGGACUGAGACACGGCCCAGACUCCUACGGGAGGCAGCAGUGGGGAAUAUUGCACAAUGGGCGAACGCCUGAUGCAGCGACGCCGCGUGAGGGAUGACGGCCUUCGGGUUGUAAACCUCUUUCAGCAGGGAAGAAGCGAAAGUGACGGUACCUGCAGAAGAAGCACCGGCUAACUACGUG
rnacentral:rRNA from 1 species